AUUGAACGCUGGCGGCAGGCCUAACACAUGCAAGUCGAGCGGAACGGCGGACGGGUGAGUGAUUCCUAUGAAUCUGCCUGGUAGUGGGGGGUAACGUCCGGAAACGGGCGCUAAUACCGCAUCCUAUCAAAUGAGCCUAGGUCGGAUUAGCUAGUUGGUGGGUUAAAGGCCUACCAAGGCGACGAUCCGUAACUGGUCUGAGAGGAUGAUCAGUCACACUGGAACUGAGACACGGUCCAGACUCCUACGGGAGGCAGCAGUGGGGAAUAUUGGACAAUGGGCGAAAGCCUGAUGCAGCCAUGCCGCGUGUGUGAAGAAGGUCUUCGGAUUGUAAAGCACUUUAAGUGGGGAGGCGUUACCCACAGAAGAAGCACCGGCUAACUUCGGGCCAGCAGCCGCGGUAAUAC
rnacentral:rRNA from 1 species